rnacentral:rRNA from 1 species
GGGUUGUGAGGUUAAGCGACUAAGCGUACACGGUGGAUGCCUAGGCAGUCAGAGGCGAUGAAGGGCGUGCUAAUCUGCGAAAAGCGUCGGUAAGCUGAUAUGAAGCGUUAUAACCGACGAUACCCGAAUGGGGAAACCCAGUGCAAUACGUUGCACUAUCGUUAGAUGAAUACAUAGUCUAACGAGGCGAACCGGGGGAACUGAAACAUCUAAGUACCCCGAGGAAAAGAAAUCAACCGAGAUUCCCCCAGUAGCGGCGAGCGAACGGGGAGGAGCCCAGAGUCUGAAUCAGUUUGUGUGUUAGUGGAAGCGUCUGGAAAGUCGCACGGUACAGGGUGAUAGUCCCGUACACCAAAAUGCACAGGCUGUGAACUCGAUGAGUAGGGCGGGACACGUGACAUCCUGUCUGAAUAUGGGGGGACCAUCCUCCAAGGCUAAAUACUCCUGACUGACCGAUAGUGAACCAGUACCGUGAGGGAAAGGCGAAAAGAACCCCGGCGAGGGGAGUGAAAUAGAACCUGAAACCGUGUACGUACAAGCAGUGGGAGCACCUUCGUGGUGUGACUGCGUACCUUUUGUAUAAUGGGUCAGCGACUUAUAUUUUGUAGCAAGGUUAACCGAAUAGGGGAGCCGUAGGGAAACCGAGUCUUAACUGGGCGUCUAGUUGCAAGGUAUAGACCCGAAACCCGGUGAUCUAGCCAUGGGCAGGUUGAAGGUUGGGUAACACUAACUGGAGGACCGAACCGACUAAUGUUGAAAAAUUAGCGGAUGACUUGUGGCUGGGGGUGAAAGGCCAAUCAAACCGGGAGAUAGCUGGUUCUCCCCGAAAGCUAUUUAGGUAGCGCCUCGUGAACUCAUCUUCGGGGGUAGAGCACUGUUUCGGCUAGGGGGCCAUCCCGGCUUACCAAACCGAUGCAAACUCCGAAUACCGAAGAAUGUUAUCACGGGAGACACACGGCGGGUGCUAACGUCCGUCGUGAAGAGGGAAACAACCCAGACCGCCAGCUAAGGUCCCAAAGUCAUGGUUAAGUGGGAAACGAUGUGGGAAGGCACAGACAGCCAGGAUGUUGGCUUAGAAGCAGCCAUCAUUUAAAGAAAGCGUAAUAGCUCACUGGUCGAGUCGGCCUGCGCGGAAGAUGUAACGGGGCUAAACCAUGCACCGAAGCUGCGGCAGCGACACUUAGGUGUUGUUGGGUAGGGGAGCGUUCUGUAAGCCGUUGAAGGUGACCUGUGAGGGUUGCUGGAGGUAUCAGAAGUGCGAAUGCUGACAUAAGUAACGAUAAUGCGGGUGAAAAACCCGCACGCCGGAAGACCAAGGGUUCCUGUCCAACGUUAAUCGGGGCAGGGUGAGUCGACCCCUAAGGCGAGGCUGAAAAGCGUAGUCGAUGGGAAACAGGUUAAUAUUCCUGUACUUGGUGUUACUGCGAAGGGGGGACGGAGAAGGCUAGGCUGGCCGGGCGACGGUUGUCCCGGUUUAAGCGUGUAGGGGGAGUGACCAGGUAAAUCCGGUUGCUUAUCAACCCUGAGGCGUGAUGACGAUGCACCACGGUGCAGAAGCAGUUGAUGCCAUGCUUCCAGGAAAAGCCUCUAAGCAUCAGGUAACAUUAAAUCGUACCCCAAACCGACACAGGUGGUCAGGUAGAGAAUACUCAGGCGCUUGAGAGAACUCGGGUGAAGGAACUAGGCAAAAUGGUGCCGUAACUUCGGGAGAAGGCACGCUGGCGUUAGGUGAAAGGACUAGCUCCUGGAGCUGAAGCCAGUCGCAGAUACCAGCUGGCUGCAACUGUUUAAUAAAAACACAGCACUGUGCAAACACGAAAGUGGACGUAUACAGUGUGACGCCUGCCCGGUGCUGGAAGGUUAAUUGAUGGGGUCAGCCGCAAGGCGAAGCUCUUGAUCGAAGCCCCAGUAAACGGCGGCCGUAACUAUAACGGUCCUAAGGUAGCGAAAUUCCUUGUCGGGUAAGUUCCGACCUGCACGAAUGGCGUAAUGAUGGCCAGGCUGUCUCCACCCGAGACUCAGUGAAAUUGAACUCGCUGUGAAGAUGCAGUGUACCCGCGGCAAGACGGAAAGACCCCGUGAACCUUUACUAUAGCUUGACACUGAACAUUGAGCCUUGAUGUGUAGGAUAGGUGGGAGGCCUUGAAGUGUGGACGCCAGUCUGCAUGGAGCCAACCUUGAAAUACCACCCUUUAAUGUUUGAUGUUCUAACUCGGCCCCAUGAUCUGGGGUGAGGACAGUGUCUGGUGGGUAGUUUGACUGGGGCGGUCUCCUCCCAAAGAGUAACGGAGGAGCACGAAGGUUAGCUAAUCACGGUCGGACAUCGUGAGGUUAGUGCAAAGGCAUAAGCUAGCUUGACUGCGAGAGUGACGGCUCGAGCAGGUACGAAAGUAGGUCUUAGUGAUCCGGUGGUUCUGAAUGGAAGGGCCAUCGCUCAACGGAUAAAAGGUACUCCGGGGAUAACAGGCUGAUACCGCCCAAGAGUUCAUAUCGACGGCGGUGUUUGGCACCUCGAUGUCGGCUCAUCACAUCCUGGGGCUGAAGUAGGUCCCAAGGGUAUGGCUGUUCGCCAUUUAAAGUGGUACGCGAGCUGGGUUUAGAACGUCGUGAGACAGUUCGGUCCCUAUCUGCCGUGGGCGUUGGAAGAUUGAGAGGGGCUGCUCCUAGUACGAGAGGACCGGAGUGGACGAAUCACUGGUGUUCGGGUUGUCAUGCCAAUGGCAUUGCCCGGUAGCUAAAUUCGGAAGAGAUAACCGCUGAAAGCAUCUAAGCGGGAAACUUGCCUCGAGAUGAGUCUUCCCUGGGGCUUAAAGUCCCCUGAAGGAACGUUAAAGACUAUGACGUUGAUAGGCUGGGUGUGUAAGUGCAGCGAUGUAUUGAGCUAACCAGUACUAAUGAUCCGUGAGGCUUAACCUUACAACACCGAAGGUGUUU